CUACGGGUCGCUGCAGUGAGGAAUAUUGCACAAUGGGGGGAACCCUGAUGCAGCAACGCCGCGUGGAGGAUGACGCAUUUCGGUGUGUAAACUCCUUUUAUAUGUCAAGAAAAUGACGGUAGCAUAUGAAUAAGCGCUGGCUAACUCCGUGCCAGCAGCCGCGGUAAUACGGAGGGCGCAAGCGUUACUCGGAAUCACUGGGCGUAAAGGACGCGUAGGCGGGUUGAAAAGUCAGGUGUGAAAGCCUACAGCUUAACUGUAGAACUGCACUUGAAACUCUCAACCUAGAGUAUGGGAGGGGCAGAUGGAAUUAGUGGUGUAGGGGUAAAAUCCGUAGAUAUCACUAGGAAUACCUAAAGCGAAGGCGAUCUGCUGGAACAUUACUGACGCUAAGGCGUGAAAGCGUGGGGAGCAAACAGGAUUAGAUACCCGUGUAGUC
rnacentral:rRNA from 1 species